rnacentral:rRNA from 1 species
AGAACCAACGCUGGCGGCGUGCCUCAGACAUGCAAGUCGAACGAUUAAAGCUCUCUUCGGAGAGUGUAUAGAGUGGCGCACGGGUGAGUAACACGUAAGUAAUCUACCUUCGAGUGGGGAAUAACGUUCGGAAACGAACGCUAAUACCGCAUAAUGCAGCGGCAUCGCAAGAUGACAGUUGUUAAAGGAUUUAUUUCGCUUGAAGAGGAGCUUGCGGCAGAUUAGCUUGUUGGUAAGGUAACGGCUUACCAAGGCUACGAUCUGUAUCCGGUCUAAGAGGACGGUCGGACACACUGACACUGAAUAACGGUCAGACUCCUACGGGAGGCAGCAGU